rnacentral:misc_RNA from 1 species
UAAUUACAUCCUUAUCGCCCGGGAACUACGAGCGAAGCUUAAAACCCAAAGGACUUGACGGUACCCCACAUCCACCUAGAGGAGCCUGUCCUAUAAUCGAUAACCCCCGCUAAACCUCACCAUCUUUAGCCAGUCAGCCUGUAUACCUCCGUCGUCAGCUUACCUCGUGAGCGAUAUCUAGUGAGCUUAAUGUCUUUACAUCAAUACGUCAGGUCAAGGUGCAGUAAAUGAGAUGGGAAGAGAUGGGCUACACUCUCUAACUUAGAACACACGAAAGACUACCUAUGAAAUCUAGUCAGAAGGCGGAUUUAGCAGUAAAAAGGGAGCAUAGAGCUCUUUUUAACCCGGCACUGGGGUGUGUACACACCGCCCGUCACCCUCUUCAAAGCCAAAAUAACAGUACAUAACUCAACUUAGCACCCCAGAAGAGGCAAGUCGUAACAUGGUAAGCGUACCGGAAGGUGUGCUUGGAAACAAAAUAUAGCUUAAACAAAGCAUCUCGCUUACACCGAGAAAAUAUCUGUUAAACUCAGAUUGUUUUGAGCUAAAAAUCUAGCCCACCUCAACCUAAUGAAUCCUAUUAACUGGUGGCAUAAAUCAAAACAUUUUCACAUCUUAGUAAAGGCGAUUAAAAAAUUAUUCGGAGCUAUAAAAAUAGUACCGCAAGGGAAAGAUGAAAUAAAAUUGAAAUAAGUAUAAAGCACAAAAAAGUAGAGAAU